rnacentral:rRNA from 1 species
CGAGAAAGCCCGCAAGGGUGAGUACAGCGGCGCACGGGUGCGUAACACGUGGGUAAUCUGCCCUGAAGCCCGGAAUAACCUCCCGAAAGGGAAGCUAAUGCCGGAUGAGCCCACGGGGUCCUUGGACCCUGAGGGAAAAGGUGGCCUCUGCAUGCAAGCUAUCACUUCAGGAUGAGCCCGCGGCCCAUCAGCUCGUUGGCGGGGUAAUGGCCCACCAAGGCUACGACGGGUAGCUGGUCUGAGAGGACGAUCAGCCACACUGGAACUGAGACACGGUCCAGACUCCUACGGGAGGCAGCAGUGGGGAAUCUUGCGCAAUGGGCGAAAGCCUGACGCAGCAACGCCGCGUGUGUGAUGAAGGUCUUCGGAUCGUAGAGCACUGUCGCGAGGGACG